rnacentral:snoRNA from 10 species
UACUGUUAGUGAUGAUUUUAAAAUUAAAAGCAGAUGGGAAUCUCUCUGAGAAAGAAAAUGGGAGAUUAAUCCUUAACCUGAAACAGUA